rnacentral:rRNA from 1 species
CCUACGGGAGGCAGCAGUGAGGAAUAUUGGUCAAUGGCCGGAAGGCUGAACCAGCCAUGCCGCGUGAAGGUCAGUGCCCUAUGGGCGUUAAACUUCUUUUGUGCGGGAGCAAUAAUGGUCACGUGUGGCCCGACGAGAGUAUCGUACGAAUAAGCAUCGGCUAACUCCGUGCCAGCAGCGGCGGUAAUACGGGGGAGGCAAGCGUUAUCCGGAUUUAUUGGGUGUAAAGGGUGCGUAGGCUGGGAGGUAAGUCAGCGGUGAAAUGACCCCGCUCAACGGGGUGAAGUGCCAUUGAUACUGCCUUGCUGGAAUGCGGAUGCCGUGUGAGGAAUGUGUGGUGUAGCGGUGAAAUGCAUAGAUAUCACACAGAACACCGAUUGCGAAGGCAUCACACG